CAGGGAGACAACAAAAUGUUUAAUAUUACUAUUUUGUCACCUUAGGUCGAUCGGUAUCUCACGUUCUUAAUUAAGAAUUUCAUUUCCUAAGUUUUUCUAGGUCACACCCAUUAUCUUUCCUGGGCCAUUAGCUCAGGUGGUUAGAGCGCACCCCUGAUAAGGGUGAGGUCCCUGGUUCAAGUCCAGGAUGGCCCAUAUCUCUAUGUUGGGGGUAUAGCUCAGUUGGUAGAGCGCCUGCUUUGCAAGCAGGAUGUCAGCGGUUCGAGUCCGCUUACCUCCACUGAUUACCACCUCUUCCAUAAUUUAGAUAAAGGAAAUGUUUUGAGUUGUGAUCAGUUUCUGAACGAAUCUAGCUUCCUAAUGAAAUCAUUAAGAUGCUGGACUCAUUGAAUUAAUUUCAUUGUUUUCAGAGAACCUUGACAACUGCAUAGAUUAUUUUUUAAAGACAAUAAGCAUCUUUAAUGAUGCAGAUUUAUUAUUUGUGCGAACGCAUUAAUAACAAUUCUAUUAAGCUGAUGCUUCAAUUUUGAAGUUAUU
rnacentral:tRNA from 1 species